rnacentral:lncRNA from 1 species
UUUCUGUUUGAUUAUAGGUUUAUGCUGAAUUGAAACAUAUAUAUAGAUUUAAAAAAAAUCUUGCAUCUUUUUGGGGAUAUCAAUCCAGGAAAGUGGAAUGAUUUCAGGUUUACUGGAAGUGGUGCGGCCUAGUGAAAACAGCAAACAGAAAGUAGAAAAAAAUGUUUUGACUUCAGGUUUACGUAACUUUUUAUUCUUCGUGGCAUGACCC